rnacentral:rRNA from 1 species
CGUUUAUUUGAUAGUGCCUUACUACUUGGAUAACCGUGGUAAUUCUAGAGCUAAUACAUGCUAAAAACCCCGACUUCGGAAGGGGUGUAUUUAUUAGAUACAAAACCAAUGCCCUUCGGGGCUUCUUGGUGAUUCAUGAUAACUAUACGAAUCGCACGGCCUUGCGCCGGCGAUGGUUCAUUCAAAUUUCUUCCCUAUCAACUUUCGAUGUUUGGGUAUUGGCCAAACAUGGUUGCAACGGGUAACGGAGGGUUAGGGCUCGACCCCGGAGAAGGAGCCUGAGAAACGGCUACUACAUCCAAGGAAGGCAGCAGGCGCGCAAAUUACCCAAUCCCGACUCGGGGAGGUAGUGACAAUAAAUACUGAUACAGGGCCCUUUCGGGCCUUGUAAUUGGAAUGAGUACAAUUUAAAUCCCUUAACGAGGAACAAUUGGAGGGCAAGUCUGGUGCCAGCAGCCGCGGUAAUUCCAGCUCCAAUAGCGUAUAUUAAAGUUGUUGUGGUUAAAAAGCUCGUAGUUGAACCUUGGGCCUGGCUGGCCGGUCCGCCUCACCGCGUGUACUGGUCCGGCCGGGCCUUUCCCUCUGUGGAACCCCAUACCCUUCACUGGGCGUGGCGGGGAAACAGGACAUUUACUUUGAAAAAAUUAGAGUGCUCCAGGCAGGCCUAUGCUCGAAUACAUUAGCAUGGAAUAAUAAAAUAGGACGCGCGGUUCUAUUUUGUUGGUUUAUAGGACCGCCGUAAUGAUUAAUAGGGACAGUCGGGGGCAUCAGUAUUCAACUGUCAGAGGUGAAAUUCUUGGAUCAGUUGAAGACUAACUACUGCGAAAGCAUUUGCCAAGGAUGUUUUCAUUAAUCAGGAACGAAAGUUAGGGGAUCGAAGACGAUCAGAUACCGUCGUAGUCUUAACCAUAAACUAUGCCGACUAGGGAUCGGACGGUGUUAUUCAUGACCCGUUCGGCACCUUACGAGAAAUCAAAGUGCUUGGGCUCCAGGGGGAGUAUGGUCGCAAGGCUGAAACUUAAAGAAAUUGACGGAAGGGCACCACCAGGGGUGGAGCCUGCGGCUUAAUUUGACUCAACACGGGGAAACUCACCAGGUCCAGACACAAUAAGGAUUGACAGAUUGAGAGCUCUUUCUUGAUUUUGUGGGUGGUGGUGCAUGGCCGUUCUUAGUUGGUGGGGUGACUUGU